GCGGGUCGCUCUCACUUGUCCCUGGACCGCAGCCGCGGCAUAAGUGGUGCCCAACGCUGGGCCUGGGUGUGGCCGGAAGCAGAGACCGCUCUGACUACACACCCACCCCUCAAAGGCUUCUGGGAGUCGCGCAGGCGCAGCGGCAGGCCGGGUCUCCUGGCCUCAGUGAUGGAAUUAAGAUGACUCCUAUCUCUGAAUCCAAGGGUGACUGAAAGCCACAAGCUGCAGAAAGGACAAGAGGCAUCACCUAUGUGGAUAAAGACAGCAUCCUUAGUUGAUGGAGAAAUGGCAUAGAAGGAAUUAGGUCCGUUAAUGACAUCAUGGAGCAGAGCUGUCUUCUUGCCUUGACCUGCCACCUACCUACAUGGGAAGCUGUUACUUGAGAAGGCAAUAAAAUCUAUCUUCUUCAUUGA
rnacentral:lncRNA from 1 species